rnacentral:rRNA from 1 species
GUAAACGGCGGCCGUAACUAUAACGGUCCUAAGGUAGCGAAAUUCCUUGUCGGGUAAGUUCCGACCUGCACGAAUGGCGUAAUGAUGGCCAGGCUGUCUCCACCCGAGACUCAGUGAAAUUGAACUCGCUGUGAAGAUGCAGUGUACCCGCGGCAAGACGGAAAGACCCCGUGAACCUUUACUAUAGCUUGACACUGAACAUUGAGCCUUGAUGUGUAGGAUAGGUGGGAGGCUUUGAAGUGUGGACGCCAGUCUGCAUGGAGCCGACCUUGAAAUACCACCCUUUAAUGUUUGAUGUUCUAACGUUGGCCCGUUAUCCGGGUUGCGGACAGUGUCUGGUGGGUAGUUUGACUGGGGCGGUCUCCUCCUAAAGAGUAACGGAGGAGCACGAAGGUUGGCUAAUCCUGGUCGGACAUCAGGAGGUUAGUGCAAUGGCAUAAGCCAGCUUGACUGCGAGCGUGACGGCGCGAGCAGGUGCGAAAGCAGGUCAUAGUGAUCCGGUGGUUCUGAAUGGAAGGGCCAUCGCUCAACGGAUAAAAGGUACUCCGGGGAUAACAGGCUGAUACCGCCCAAGAGUUCAUAUCGACGGCGGUGUUUGGCACCUCGAUGUCGGCUCAUCACAUCCUGGGGCUGAAGUAGGUCCCAAGGGUAUGGCUGUUCGCCAUUUAAAGUGGUACGCGAGCUGGGUUUAGAACGUCGUGAGACAGUUCGGUCCCUAUCUGCCGUGGGCGCUGGAGAACUGAGGGGGGCUGCUCCUAGUACGAGAGGACCGGAGUGGACGCAUCACUGGUGUUCGGGUUGUCAUGCCAAUGGCACUGCCCGGUAGCUAAAUGCGGAAGAGAUAAGUGCUGAAAGCAUCUAAGCACGAAACUUGCCCCGAGAUGAGUUCUCCCUGACCCUUUAAGGGUCCUGAAGGAACGUUGAAGACGACGACGUUGAUAGGCCGGGUGUGUAAGCGCAGCGAUGCGUUGAGCUAACCGGUACUAAUGAACCGUGAGGCUUAACCUUACAACGCCGAAG